rnacentral:ribozyme from 13 species
UGCACAACUACAAGCUCGAGAAACAACACUAAACAAUCUAAAUACAGGAGGUAACAACAAAGUCACCAAUGCACAUAGUCCUGUUGCCGCUCUUCCUUUUCCUCUUCUCUCCUUUUCAUCUCCGCUUCUCUCUCUUUCUCUUUCUCUUUCUCCCACAGUGCAAAAUUU